rnacentral:rRNA from 1 species
AGUGAACGCUGGCGGUAGGCCUAACACAUGCAAGUCGAACGGCAGCACAGUAAGAGCUUGCUCUUACGGGUGGCGAGUGGCGGACGGGUGAGGAAUACAUCGGAAUCUACUUUUUCGUGGGGGAUAACGUAGGGAAACUUACGCUAAUACCUCAUACGACCUACGGGUGAAAGCAGGGGAUCUUCGGACCUUGCGCGAUUGAAUGAGCCGAUGUCGGAUUAGCUAGUUGGCGGGGUAAAGGCCCACCAAGGCGACGAUCCGUAGCUGGUCUGAGAGGAUGAUCGCCCACACUGGAACUGAGACACGGUCCAGACUCCUACGGGAGGCAGCAGUGGGGAAUAUUGGACAAUGGGCGCAAGCCUGAUCCAGCCAUACCGCGUGGGUGAAGAAGGCCUUCGGGUUGUAAAGCCCUUUUGUUGGGAAAGAAAAGCAGCAGGUUAAUACCCCGCUGUUCUGACGGUACCCAAAGAAUAAGCACCGGCUAACUUCGUG